GGCCUAUCUCAACUCCUUUUGCCCUUAUACUCAUCAUCAAACAUCCACACAUUCAAAUCAACCAACUCUCACAUUCAUUUAGCAUAAAACAUUAAGUGAAUUCUUGCAAAUGGUCAAUUGGUCCAAAUCAUUUGGUUGAGUAAGGGAUGGCUUUUAUUCAAGUGGGUCAAGAGGUUCAAUAUCCAUGAUCUUUUAAAGUGGCUUACUCUCAAAACAAGUAGCCUUGACAUUGCACAUAAUAUAUCUAAGAAAGGGACCAACUCAUGCAUACAAUGCUCAAUCUUCACUGUUCUACCUUUUUCCCAAACAUACAAGUUACACAAUCACUUCCCAAUGUCAAACCCAACUCCCAUCUCACACCAAAAGAUCCCAAGAACACUUUGCACAUAAAACUCUUUUUCUUUGAAAUCUAUAAAGGAUUUUCUCAACUUCUAAACAAAUCUUAGCUCUAAACAACUUUGCUAGCCCCCUUUUCUUUCUUUUUCUCUUUUUUUUUU
rnacentral:lncRNA from 1 species